CCUACGGGUGGCAGCAGUGAGGAAUAUUGGACAAUGGGCGAGAGCCUGAACCAGCCAAGUCGCGUGAAGGAUGACGGCCCUACGGGUGAUAAACAUCUUUUGUCAGGGAGCAAUUGGGUCCACGCGUGGGCUUAGCGAGAGUACCUGAAGGAAAAGCAUCGGCUAACUCCGUGCCAGCAGCCGCGGUAAUACGGAGGAUGCGAGCGUUAGCCGGAUUUAUUGGGUUUAAAGGGUGCGUAGGCGGAAUAUCAAGUCAGCGGGAAAAAUUCGGGGCUCAACCCCGUCGUGCCGUUGAAACUGAUGUUCUUGAGUGGGCGAGAGGUAUGCGGAAUGCGUGGUGUAGCGGUGAAAUGCAUAGAUAUCACGCAGAACUCCGAUUGCGAAGGCAGCAUCCCGGCGCCCAACUGACGCUGAAGCACGAAAGCGUGGGUAUCGAACAGGAUUAGAUACCCUAGUAGUC
rnacentral:rRNA from 1 species